rnacentral:tRNA from 1 species
CGGGGCGUAGCGCAGUUUGGCUUAGCGCACUUGAAUGGGGUUCAAGAGGCCGCUGGUUCGAGUCCAGUCGCCCCGACCA